AGUUAUAGUGAGCCACCUUGUGGUAAAUCGCAUAAUUACAACUUCUGAAGGCUCAUUAAUGGCGAGUAAUUCGCUGGUUUCAUUGUGACAGUGUAUACUGUUCCAUACAGAGCCAGAAACUGCUAUAAUCUGCUGAAUGAACCAGGGAUCUAUUCAUGGUUUUGGUCAGAAGAUGGCUCCUGGAAACAAAGCUAAGACCUUCACUGGCAGUUCUCUAUCUGGAAGG